CCCAGGUCCAGUCUUGUGCCCCUCCGCCCCAGGUCCAGUCUUGUGCCCCUCCGCCCCAGGUCCAGUCUUGUGCCCCUCCGCCCCAGUCUUGUACCCCUAGCCCCUCUGCCCCAGGUCCAGUCUUGUGCCCCUCCGCCCCAGGUCCAGUCUUGUGCCCCUCCGCCCCAGGUCCAGUCUUGUGCCCCUCCGCCCCAGGUCCAGUCUUGUGCCCCUCCGCCCCAGGUCCAGUCUUGUGCCCCUAGCCCCUCCGCCCCCAGGUCCAGUCUUGUACCCCUAGCCCCUCCGCCCCAGGUCCAGUCUUGUACCCCUAGCCCCUCCGCCCCAGGUCCAGUCCUGUACCCCUAGCCCCUCCACCCCAGGUCCAGUCCUGUGCCCCUACCCCAGGUCCAGUCCUGUACCCCUAGCCCCUCCACCCCAGGUCCAGUCCUGUGCCCCUCCACCCCAGGUCCAGUCCUGUACCCCUAGCCCCUCCACCCCAGGUCCAGUCCUGUACCCCUAGCCCCUCCGCCCCCAGGUCCAGUCCUGUGCCCCUCCGCCCCAGGUCCAGUCCUGUGCCCCUCCGCCCCAGGUCCAGUCCUGUGCCCCUCCGCCCCAGGUCCAGUCUUGUGCCCCUAGCCCCUCCGCCCCAGGUCCAGUCUUGUACCCCUAGCCCCUCCGCCCCAGGUCCAGUCUUGUGCCCCAGGUCCAGUCUUGUGCCCCUAGCCCCUCCGCCCCAGUCUUGUGCCCCUAGCCCCUCCGCCCCAGGUCCAGUCUUGUGCCCCAGGUCCAGUCUUGUGCCCCUAGCCCCUCCGCCCCAGGUCCAGUCCUGUGCCCCAGGUCCAGUCCUGUGCCCCUCCGCCCCAGGCCCAGUCCUGUGCCCCUCCGCCCCAGGCCCAGUCCUGUGCCCCUCCGCCCCAGGCCCAGUCCUGUGCCCCUCCGCCCCAGGCCCAGUCCUGUGCCCCUCCGCCCCAGGCCCAGUCCUGUGCCCCUCCGCCCCAGGUCCCAGUCCUGUGACCCUCCACCCCAGGCCC
rnacentral:lncRNA from 1 species